rnacentral:other from 1 species
ACCUGCCGUGCUCGGAAAACCUCUUCAUCCUUUUGAACCUAAAACAUCAUCAGGGGGCAGGCGCGAAAACCAGUGUGCAGGGCCACAGUAUUAUUAGUGGAAAGCCUUAAGGUUACGAAGAAGCUCCCACUUGAACCGUUCGGUUCAAGGUACCGAGGCAUAACGGCAUGGCGGGUG